UUGUCUAGAAGCCCACAUAUCUUCAAGGAUCCCUGAAUUUCACCCACACCCCAAGUUUUGGGGGGUUUUUUGCGGGGAGGACUUGCUAGGUUGAAGAGCCAUCUUCCGUGGAGCCCCGCCCCAGCAUGCCCCGCGUUCGUUCGACUUCGCGGUUCAUGGGGACAGUAGAUGAGGAGAGACAAAGAGCGGAGCAUCCCCCGGCUCCCUCCCAGACCUGGCCAAGACGGUGGCUGGAGAGGCCCAGAUGCUAGCAGAGCAAAGACGCUAGGAGAGGCGGGGCUUGGCCCUGCCCCUUUAGGGCGUCACCUAGCCCCUCCCAACUGGGCUCCCGCUGCGGUCGGGCGGCGGAGCCUGGACCGAGCUGGGAGGCCGCAGCUGCUGUCGAGUUCCACCGCCCCGAACACUAUAGCACCUUAAGUACCCGGGACGGCGGCCGGCCUGCAGGUGGCCCGGCGUACCGUGGGGACAAUGACGAUACUCCAGGGAACUCCAUGCCCUGGCCAGUGUGCAGAGUCCAAGUUCUGGAAGACCAACAUCUGCAGGUGAAUAGUUGGUGAUGUCCUCCAGGCCUAGGGACACCCUUGGAGAACCGGUGGAAAGGCCACAUCUGCAGUGCAGAUGGCAGAAGAUCACAGAGACUCAGAUGCCCUUCCUGCAGGACAAGCCCAGCCUUGAAGAUUUCCCUGCCUAUGGCUGGCUCUUCUUCAACAAGGCAGACAGGGCCCUCCCCAGACUGGAGGGUGCCCAAGGCCCCUUGGUGGUGCCUACCAUGGACUGCUCUGCAGCUGCCCCCUUGACCUCUUAGCUGACCCAGAAGUGGGGAGCCAGCCCUCACCAUGUGGAACAGACCACCCUGAGGGAGCUGAGGCUGAAGGCCACCCACUCUGCCCAGCUGCUGAGCAGAAGGAGCCAGCCCACCUUGAUGGCACCCUCCCUGCCCACCCCUAUCCAGCCCAACAAUGACACAGACCUCCCAGACUCCAGUCAGAAGAAAUAGCCUCUGCAGCCAGUCAGUACUGGCUGGGAGGCCUGAGUGCUGGGGGAGGCCCUGCCAUCCUGGCCACAGCCACUGCCCCCCACCCCCACCACAAGAGACAUACAGUGCCCUGGAGCUAGGCAUGUCCAGUUCUAGGCAGGCCUUCCCUGGCACCUAGGAGAGGCAGAGAAGAGGCCUGGCUGCCUGCCCACUCACCUGUGCAGCUCCAGAGCCCAUCUGAGCAGCUGCAGCUGCAGUGACUCCAUGGUCCAGCUUGUGCUGACCUAGAGCCCCUCCUUGGCCCCUUCCUGAGACUCCAUCUGCUCACUUGCCUUCCAGCCAGGCUCAAGCCGAGAGGGGCUCACCAUGGCCGGGCUCCAGAUGCAGAGGGACAACUGCCUCCCUGCCUCUGUGUGAGAGCCUGGAGCACAGGAAAGGGUGCCCCCUGAAGCCAGCUAAGGGCCCCUCCCCCUUUGGUGUGGGGCUCCCAAGGGUUCCAGGCUCAGGCCUUCAGAGGGUCAGGUGGAGGUGUCUCCUGUGGCAGGGACACAGGUGCCCCUGCCAUCUCCCCUUCACUCCCUGUGUCCAGAGACUGAAGGGGACCUGGCCACCAGAGGUGCCCAGGGACUCCUUUGUGCAAGAUGCCUUCCUUCCUCUGCCCAAAGGAAGAGGGCUCUGGGUGACACCUGGAGGUGGGAGGGGGGCAGAGGCAGCAGCUGGUUAAGGCCUAGAAGUGAACCUCGGGCCAUUGACCUUCUGUUGGCCAGUUGAGAUUGUGUGGUUUGCUGCCUGGGGUCCAACAGGCAGGAGUGGAAUGGGAGGGAUGCCAGGACACUGCCCCCUGGACAGGACAGAAAGAGGAAAGGAUGGGCAAUGGGAAGGGGCUGGGGGGGCAGAGCUGUUGGCAGUGACAUGACCUGAGAUGUGCCCACAGGAGCUGAGAGGCCAGCCACCUCCUGGUCUCUUCCUUCCCUUCCUUUACACCCUGACUGUGUGUCAUCAGCCUCUGGCCCAUGGAGUCCUGGGCCUCUUGGCCAAGUCAGGCUUUGGGGGAAGCUUCAGGUGGGCUGCUUGCUUCUGCCAUAGGUGGCUCAUCCCGGAUACAGAGGCAGAGGUAGCAUGGAUGGCAGCAGAACCCUCCCUGUCUGCUGUCCCCCAUUGGUACUGCCUGACCCCCCCCCAACCAGGGCUGCAGGGGGCACCCAUGGUUGUGAUCUAGGUUAGGACACGUGGGCCUUCAUGCCUUUCCAAGGCUGAGAGUCUGCUUCUGGCUUCCUGCUGGUGUGGCCUGGAGUCUGCAGGGGUGGACAGGCCUUGGCUGCCUGCCUGCCUGCACAGGUCCCCAGGGGAGCUUUGAGGAGCUGCUUCUGGCCACUGGCUGCCCUGACUGAGGCACUGACUGUAUAUAGGCUGUAUAUAGGAGCACCUUCUCUCUGAAGAUCUGGUUUGUUCAGACAGAUCUCCAUGUGUGGUCGACUGCAGGGAUUAUUUCCCCUUCCCCCCACCCCAAACCCUAGGACAUUCCCCAAUGACUGGCAUGUAGUGACUGCUUUAGAAACACUUGUCUCUUUUAGAGGCAGCUGGCUGCCCCAGUGGCUAGAAUGCCAGGCUCCAGCUGUUGCCUCAGACAUGCAGGAGCUGUGUGAGCCUGACAAGCCUCAGCCUUUCUCACCUCUGCUUGCUCCUCUGUCAGAUGGGCAGAAGGCCAGCACCUCCCUCACAGGGUUGUUGUGAGGAGCCUGUCACAUGCCUCUGUAAAUUGCUUUGCAUGCCUUAGACAGCUGUGUACAUGCUAGCUACCCUGAUUGUCUUUAGUGUUGCUUGACAGAAAUCCCCUCAGUUCUCUCCUGAGCCAGAGGAGCUCAGUAGACGCAGAUACCUCAAAAGGGUUUUCUUCCUUUCCCUCUGUGAAUCGUGUAGACUGGUUCCAGCUGGGUCCCCAGAGGUGGGAGAUAGAAGGGGCAGUGGCCCCCUCUCCUACCUGGCCUCCCCUGGCCAUGGCAUCAUGGCCCCCCCCCCCACGUGUUAUCAUAUCUGCCCUUUCCUGGACUUCUUCCACCCAGAACCCCCUGGUGCAUUUGUCAAGGCCUGGCAGUGAGUGGGACAGCUGCUGCCCUGGCCCUCAGCUACAAGGACUGAGGUCAGGACCAGGUUCUGUGAUGACCACAUGGGGAGUGCUGUCCAUGGCCCCAUGAUGGAGUGUGGCUCCACACCUGGGGUUUUGGUCUUGUUGGUGUUCCCUCUGCCUCCUGCCUGAGACAGGAUGCUAUCACUUUUUCCUCUUUCAUAGCUCAGGUUCCCUUUGUUUUUUAUCCUUUUUAUCUCCUCCUCUUAACAUUUAAUUUAAGAAGCCUUUAUUAAGUGCCUUUUCUGUGGCAGUGCUAAUAACAUAGUAACAGCCUUCCCUUUUUCCAAGGAGCUGGGAGAUAAGGUUUUUUUAACUUUUCAUUUACUCCUUAUGCAGAACAUGUAGGUAUGGUUCAUAGGCUUAAUGGGACUGUUUAGGGAACAUGGACUUUGAUUUUACAAAUGCGGAUGUUGAGUCUUCAAACAGGAAAUGUCUUUUUCAAGUUGAAGUGGCUCAAUAAGUCUUUUAGAGGUGAUAUUAUAACCCAUAUCCUCGGACACUGAAUGCAGCAAUUUUUUUUUUUUACUGGAGUAUAAUAUGUCUUCUUCCCUGAGCUCUCAACCUCUACUUCUAACAAAUUAGUUUUUCCACCACUAGAAAUGAGAGAGUCUUCAAUGUGAAUCUGACAAAAACCUUGGUAGUGAGUCACUGGACAUCCUGCUUCAUCCCUUCUCUACUGGAAGGUUCCCCUGCAACAUCAACUGACAAAUAGGGGUGGCAGCCCAAUCCCUUAAAGUGUCUCUGCCCCCCAGCAAAAUGAGUUGUAGAGGUCUGUCAGUUUGGUCUGUCUUCAGAGUACAAAAGAAUCCUUUUGAGGAGAGGACCACCACUGUCUCCUAAAUGCUUUCACUUUUCCUGCCUUCCCUCAUUUUUACCCUGUAAUGCCCAUCACCUGGACAAAGUAGGCCAAAGUGAGCUCCCCUUUGAAAUUUUUUCUUUAUAGAAAUUCUUGAAUAAGAGAUCGCUCUCAGUUCCACUUUGAAGAUUGUAUGAUGCUUGCUUCAGACAUCUUCCAGUGGAACACAAAGACCAUGGGCAGAUAUGCAUACCACCUUGGUCAGAUUUGAGAAGCCUGCUUCUAGACAAGGGAGACUCCAAGGAGCUUGCACGGUAAACAACUCCUUUCCCACAAACGUGUAUUUCUGGGUGUGUGCUGACAAGUAUUUCACUUACAAGGAGAGUUUAACUAUUUCUUUGUGUCCCCAGCAUGUAACACUUCCUUUGAAAAAGGGAAGGCUUCAUAACUGCUUUUUGAUAAAAGAUACCUCUACUUGUCUGCUGAGCAAAAUGGGCUCUGUAGACUCAGAUGGAAAUUAAUGUGCUAUGUUCCUUCUCCACUGUGAAUCCUGUAGUGUGGUUCCAGCUGGGUCCCCAGUGUUGGGUGGGAAGGAGGUGUUGUCCUUUCUCCCACCCAGCCUCCAUGCAGUCAUGAUUAUGUGGCUGCCCUUGUAUUUUGUGUAUGUGUAUGUGUAUUUUCUUGAACUUAGGUCAAUGAGUAUACCCUGGUGCAUGUAUCCAGGAUGUAGGGCAAGCUUGUGCAUUUCCAAGGGUCUAGAGGUUACCUGAGGCCUGUGGAUGGAGCACGUGUCUCUUCCACAAAACAACAGCAUUGGCUGGCCAGGAAAGCUUCAUUCAGUAGACAGUGUGGUCUCUGGCAACAGGUCUCAGUGGAGCUCAGCUCUUGGACCAAGCGUGGUUGGACAGGGCCCAGCCAAGGUGAAGGAGAAAUGCCUGUUGGGAUUGUUUUCCCCUGGGAAGAGCCUUCCCCUUGGCCUCCUGCUGUCUUGUGACUCCCAUGAUCCUGUCAGUCCCGGGAGUGGGUGCGGUGACUCGUGUUGUCGACACCUCUUGUCCCCCUUGUUCACAAUAAAGGAUUCGUUCCUCA